CCUACGGGUGGCAGCAGUGGGGAAUAUUGCACAAUGGUCGAGAGCCUGAUCCAGCAACGCCGCGUGAGGGAAGAAGGGAUUCGGCUCGUAAACUUCUAUCAACCGGGACGCAAGAAAUGACGGUACCUGCAUAAGAAGCCCCCGCUAACUACGUGCCAGCAGCCGCGGUAAUACGUAGGGGGCAAGCGUUCUCCGGAAUUGCUGGGUGUAAGGGGUGAGUAGGCGGCAUGGUAAGCCAGAUGUGAAAGCCUUGGGCUUAACCCGAGGACUGCAUUUGGAACUAUCAAGCUAGAGUACCGGAGAGGAAAGCGGAAUGCCUAGUGUAGCGGUGAAAUGCGUAGAUAUUAGGAAGAACACCAGUGGCGAAGGCGGCUUUCUGGACUGAAACUGACGCUGAGGCACGAAAGCGUGGGGAGCGAACAGGAUUAGAUACCCGAGUAGUU
rnacentral:rRNA from 1 species